CUAAAUAGAAGAAAGAACGUACCCUCCGACACAGGUGAAUUAGAGUUAUGUUCUAAGGCUUAAUAGAAAUAACCAGGUUGAAGGAACUCGGCAAAAUGCUUACGUGCUUAUCGACAAGUAAGGACUAUAAAUGUUAAAAUCUAAUUGAAGGCAACGACUGUUUAAUAAAAACACAAGACUCUGCUGAAUGAAAAACGUAUGUAAAGAGUCUGACAUCUGCCCAUUGACUAACGUAAACGGCUGCUGUAACUAUAACGGUACUAAUCAAAAAUAUAAAUCCACAUAACAAAGUCUACCUUUGUGCCGUGUUUAAAGAUAACUAUAUGCUGGAAAAUCUUAAAAAGAUAACUAGCAAGAAAUAUAAUAAUAUAAUCUUCAGAGACUUUACGUUAUCCUGUAUAUAAGGCGUUUGCGAAGGCGCGUACAUAAAAUAAAGUCCAGUCUACGUGUAAAUGAUAGAGUUAUAAUGACUAAGGUAGCAAAAUCCAUUGACAUUUAAUUGAUGUCGCGCAUGAAUGAUGUAACGAUUGUCUUGCUGUCUCCAACCUGGGCUCUGUGAAAUUGAAUUGCCCGUGCAGAUGCGGGAAACGUGUUAGAGGGACGAUAAGACCCCGAGCACCUU
rnacentral:rRNA from 1 species